AGAGUUUGAUCCUGGCUCAGAUUGAACGCUGGCGGCAGGCUUAACACAUGCAAGUCGAGCGGGGAAAGGUAGCUUGCUACCUGACCUAGCGGCGGACGGGUGAGUAAUGCUUAGGAAUCUGCCUAUUAGUGGGGGACAACAUCUCGAAAGGGAUGCUAAUACCGCAUACGUCCUACGGGAGAAAGCAGGGGACCUUCGGGCCCUGCGCUAAUAGAUGAGCCUAAGUCGGAUUAGCUAGUUGGUGGGGUAAAGGCCUACCAAGGCGACGAUCUGUAGCGGGUCUGAGAGGAUGAUCCGCCACACUGGGACUGAGACACGGCCCAGACUCCUACGGGAGGCAGCAGUGGGGAAUAUUGGACAAUGGGGGGAACCCUGAUCCAGCCAUGCCGCGUGUGUGAAGAAGGCCUUUUGGUUGUAAAGCACUUUAAGCGAGGAGGAGGCUACCGAGAUUAAUACCCUUGGAUAGUGGACGUUACUCGCAGAAUAAGCACCGGCUAACUCUGUGCCAGCAGCCGCGGUAAUACAGAGGGUGCAAGCGUUAAUCGGAUUUACUGGGCGUAAAGCGCGCGUAGGUGGCCAAUUAAGUCAAAUGUGAAAUCCCCGAGCUUAACUUGGGAAUUGCAUUCGAUACUGGUUGGCUAGAGUAUGGGAGAGGAUGGUAGAAUUCCAGGUGUAGCGGUGAAAUGCGUAGAGAUCUGGAGGAAUACCGAUGGCGAAGGCAGCCAUCUGGCCUAAUACUGACACUGAGGUGCGAAAGCAUGGGGAGCAAACAGGAUUAGAUACCCUGGUAGUCCAUGCCGUAAACGACGUCUACCAGCCGUUGGGGCCUUUGAGGCUUUAGUGGCGCAGCUAACGCGAUAAGUAGACCGCCUGGGGAGUACGGUCGCAAGACUAAAACUCAAAUGAAUUGACGGGG
rnacentral:rRNA from 1 species